UUGCCAGACUCCUACGGGAGGCAGCAGUGGGGAAUAUUGCACAAUGGGGGAAACCCUGAUGCAGCAACGCCGCGUGAGUGAAGAAGUCAUUCGUGAUGUAAAGCUCUAUCAGCAGGGAAGAAAAUGACGGUACCUGAGUAAGAAGCACCGGCUAAAUACGUGCCAGCAGCCGCGGUAAUACGUAUGGUGCAAGCGUUAUCCGGAUUUACUGGGUGUAAAGGGAGCGCAGGCGGCGCGUUAAGCCUGGAGUGAAAGCCCACGGCCCAACCGUGGGACUGCUCUGGAAACUGUGCGGCUUGAGUGCGGGAGGGGCAGGCGGAAUUCCUAGUGUAGCGGUGAAAUGCGUAGAUAUUAGGAGGAACACCGGCGGCGAAGGCGGCCUGCUGGACCGUAACUGACGUUGAGGCUCGAAAGCGUGGGGAGCAAACAGGAUUAGAUACCCCGGUA
rnacentral:rRNA from 1 species